rnacentral:rRNA from 1 species
CAGUCGCCACGGGAAUACGUAGGUCCCGAGCGUUGUCCGGAUUUAUUGGGCGUAAAGGGAGCGCAGGCGGUUUAGUAAGUCUGAAGUUAAAGGCAUUGGCUCAACCAAUGUAUGCUUUGGAAACUGUUAGACUUGAGUGCAGAAGGGGAGAGUGGAAUUCCAUGUGUAGCGGUGAAAUGCGUAGAGAUGUGGAGGAAUACCGAUGGCGAAGGCAGCCCCCUGGGCCAAUACUGACGCUCAUGCUCGAAAGCGUGGGGAGCAAACAGGAUUAGAUACCCCCGUAGUCCCUGUCUCUUAUACA